rnacentral:rRNA from 1 species
GACGAACGCUGGCGGCGUGCUUAACACAUGCAAGUCGAACGGAAAGGCCCUGCUUUUGUGGGGUGCUCGAGUGGCGAACGGGUGAGUAACACGUGAGUAACCUGCCCUUGACUUUGGGAUAACGUCAGGAAACUGGGGCUAAUACCGGAUAGGAGCUCCUGCUGCAUGGUGGGGGUUGGAAAGUUUCGGCGGUUGGGGAUGGACUCGCGGCUUAUCAGCUUGUUGGUGGGGUAGUGGCUUACCAAGGCUUUGACGGGUAGCCGGCCUGAGAGGGUGACCGGCCACAUUGGGACUGAGAUACGGCCCAGACUCCUACGGGAGGCAGCAGUGGGGAAUAUUGCACGAUGGGCGGAAGCCUGAUGCAGCAACGCCGCGUGCGGGAUGACGGCCUUCGGGUUGUAAACCGCUUUCGCCUGUGACGAAGCGUGAGUGACGGUAAUGGGUAAAGAAGCACCGGCUAACUACGUG